rnacentral:rRNA from 1 species
AACGUAGGAGACAACCGUUAUCCGGAGUUACUGGGCGUAAAGGGCGUGUAGGUGGUAGUGUAAGUCUGGCGUGAAAUUUUUCGGCUUAACCGGGAAAGGUCGUCGGAUACUGCACAACUAGAGGACGGUAGAGGCGUGUGGAAUUCCGGGUGUAGUGGUGAAAUGCGUAGAGAUCCGGAGGAACACCAGUGGCGAAGGCGACACGCUGGGCCGUACCUGACACUGAUGCGCGACAGCAUGGGGAGCAAACAGG